AAACAUCUCUUUUUGAGUAUUAUAUAAAGUUUAGCCUGCCCUAUGAAUAUUAAAUGGCCGCAGUAUAUUGACUGUGCAAAGGUAGCAUAAUAAUUAGUCUUUUAAUUGAAGGCUGGAAUGAAUGGUUGGACGAAAUAUUAACUGUUUCAUAUAAAUUUAUUAUAGAAUUUUAUUUUUUAGUAAAAAAGCUAAAAUAAUAUUAAAAGACGAGAAGACCCUAUAAAUCUUUAUAUUUAAUGACUAUAUUUUAAUUAGAUAUUAAUUAAAAUAUAGUUAAUUAAUUAUUUUAUUGGGGUGAUAUUAAAAUUUAAUUAACUUUUAAUUAAAAUUAACAUUAAUUAAUGAUUAAAUGAUCCUAUUUUAUGGAUUAAUAGAAUAAGUUACUUUAGGGAUAACAGCGUAAUUUUUUUGGAGAGUUCAUAUUGAUAAAAAAGGUUGCGACCUCGAUGUUGGAUUAAGAAAAAUAUUAGGUGCAGAAGUUUAAUUAUUAAGUCUGUUCGACUUUUAAUUUCUUA
rnacentral:rRNA from 1 species